GGGGCAUUAGCUCAGCUGGCUAGAGCGCCGCAUUCGCAUUGCGGAGGUCGGCGGUUCGACUCCGCCAUGCUCCACCA
rnacentral:tRNA from 1 species